GAAAUGCGAUAAGUAGUGUGAAUUGCAGAAUUCAGUGAAUCAUCGAAUCUUUGAACGCACAUUGCGCCCCUUGGUAUUCCAUGGGCAUGCCUGUUCGAGCGUCAUCUACACCCUCAAGCUCUGCUUGGUGUUGGGCGUCUGUCCCGCCCCCGCGCGUGGACUCGCCCCAAAUCCAUUGGCAGCGUUCCUUGCCCCCUCUCGCGCAGCACAUUGCGCUUCUCGAGGGCGGCUCCGGGACGCGAUCCAGCAAGAUGACCACCGUCUUUGACCUCGGAUCAGGUAGGGAUACCCGCUGAACUUAAGC
rnacentral:misc_RNA from 1 species